AUUGAACGCUGGCGGCAGGCCUAACACAUGCAAGUCGAGCGAGGGGCGGACGGGUGAGUAAUGCCGGGGAAUUGCCCAGUCGAGGGGGAUAACCGUUGGAAACGACUGCUAAUACCGCAUACGCAGGGAUUGCCCAGGUGGGAUUAGCUAGUAGGUGGGGUAAUGGCUCACCAAGGCGACGAUCCCUAGCUGGUCUGAGAGGAUGAUCAGCCACACUGGAACUGAGACACGGUCCAGACUCCUACGGGAGGCAGCAGUGGGGAAUAUUGCACAAUGGGGGAAACCCUGAUGCAGCCAUGCCGCGUGUGUGAAGAAGGCCUUCGGGUUGUAAAGCACUUUCAGCGAGGAGGCGUUACUCGCAGAAGAAGCACCGGCUAACUCCGUGCCAGCAGCCGCGGUAAUUC
rnacentral:rRNA from 1 species